GGAUCCAGACUUUGAUCAUGGCUCAGGAUGAACGCUAGCUACAGGCUUAACACAUGCAAGUCGAGGGGCAGCAUGUCGGUUGCUUGCAACCGACGAUGGCGACCGGCGCACGGGUGAGUAACGCGUAUCCAACCUACCCUUGUCCAUCGGAUAACCCGUCGAAAGGCUGCCUAACACGAUAUGCGGUUCACCGCAGGCAUCUAACGUGAACGAAAUGUGAAGGAGAAGGAUGGGGAUGCGUCUGAUUAGCUUGUUGGCGGGGUAACGGCCCACCAAGGCGACGAUCAGUAGGGGUUCUGAGAGGAAGGUCCCCCACAUUGGAACUGAGACACGGUCCAAACUCCUACGGGAGGCAGCAGUGAGGAAUAUUGGUCAAUGGACGAGAGUCUGAACCAGCCAAGUAGCGUGCAGGAUGACGGCCCUAUGGGUUGUAAACUGCUUUUAUAGGGGGGUAAAGUGUGCCACGUGUGGCAUAUUGCAGGUACCCUAUGAAUAAGGACCGGCUAAUUCCGUGCCAGCAGCCGCGGUAAUACGGAAGGUCCGGGCGUUAUCCGGAUUUAUUGGGUUUAAAGGGAGCGUAGGCCGUCUUAUAAGCGUGUUGUGAAAUGUCGGGGCUCAACCUGGGCAUUGCAGCGCGAACUGUGAGACUUGAGUGCGCAGGAAGUAGGCGGAAUUCGUCGUGUAGCGGUGAAAUGCUUAGAUAUGACGAAGAACUCCGAUUGCGAAGGCAGCCUGCUGUAGCGCAACUGACGCUGAAGCUCGAAAGCGU
rnacentral:rRNA from 1 species